rnacentral:rRNA from 1 species
AGAGUUUGAUCCUGGCUCAAAUUGAACGCUGGCGGAAUGCUUUACACAUGCUAGUCGAACGGCAGCACGGACUUCGGUCUGGUGGCGAGUGGCGAACGGGUGAGUAAUAUAUCGGAACGUGCCCAGUCGUGGGGGAUAACGUAUUGAAAAUUACCCUAAUACCGCAUACGAUCUAAGGAUGAAAGCGGGGGAUCGCAAGACCUCGCGCGAUUGGAGCGGCCGAUAUCAGAUUAGGUAGUUGGUGAGGUAAAGGCUCACCAAGCCAACGAUCUGUAGCUGGUCUGAGAGGACGACCAGCCACACUGGAACUGACACACGGUCCAGACUCCUACGGGAGGCAGCAGUGGGGAAUUUUGGACAAUGGACGCAAGUCUGAUCCAGCCAUUCCGCGUGCAGGACGAAGGCCUUCGGGUUGUAAACUGCUUUUGUACAGAACGAAAAGGUCUCUAUUAAUACUAGGGGCUCAUGACGGUACUGUAAGAAUAAGCACCGGCUAACUACGUGCCAGCAGCCGCGGUAAUACGUAGGGUGCAAGCGUUAAUCGGAAUUACUGGGCGUAAAGCGUGCGCAGGCGGUUAUAUAAGACAGAUGUGAAAUCCCCGGGCUCAACCUGGGAACUGCAUUUGUGACUGUAUAGCUGGAGUGCGGCAGAGGGGGAUGGAAUUCCGCGUGUAGCAGUGAAAUGCGUAGAUAUGCGGAGGAACACCGAUGGCGAANGCAAUCCCCUGGGCCUGCACUGACGCUCAUGCACGAAAGCGUGGGGAGCAAACAGGAUUAGAUACCCUGGUAGUCCACGCCCUAAACGAUGUCAACUGGUUGUUGGGUCUUCACUGACUCAGUAACGAAGCUAACGCGUGAAGUUGACCGCCUGGGGAGUACUGGCGCCAGGUUGAAACUCAAGGAAUUGACCGGGACCCGCACAAGC